UGGGGAAUUUUGGACAAUGGGCGCAAGCCUGAUCCAGCAAUGCCGCGUGCAGGAUGAAGGCCUUCGGGUUGUAAACUGCUUUUGUACGGAACGAAAAAGCUCUCUCUAAUACAGGGGGUGAAUGACGGUACCGUAAGGAUAAGCACCGGCUAACUACGUGCCAGCAGCCGCGGUAAUACGUAGGGUGCAAGCGUUAAUCGGAAUUACUGGGCGUAAAGCGUGCGCAGGCGGUUUUGUAAGACAGAGGUAAAAUCCCCGGGCUCAACCUGGGAACUGCCUUUGGUACGGCAAAGCUGGAGUGCGGCAGAGGGGGAUGGAAUUCCGCGUGUAGCAGUGAAAUGCGUAGAUAUGCGGAGGAACACCGAUGACGAAGGCAAUCCCCUGGGCCUGCACUGACGCUCAUGCACGAAAGCGUGGGGAGCAAACA
rnacentral:rRNA from 1 species